GAUGAACGCUGGCGGCGUGCCUAAUACAUGCAAGUCGAGCGAACAGACGAGGAGCUUGCUCCUCUGACGUUAGCGGCGGACGGGUGAGUAACACGUGGAUAACCUACCUAUAAGACUGGGAUAACUUCGGGAAACCGGAGCUAAUACCGGAUAAUAUAUUGAACCGCAUGGUUCAAUAGUGAAAGACGGUUUUGCUGGCACUUAUAGAUGGAUCCGCGCCGCAUUAGCUAGUUGGUAAGGUAACGGCUUACCAAGGCAACGAUGCGUAGCCGACCUGAGAGGCUGAUCGGCCACACUGGAACUGGGCCACGGUCCAGACUCCUACGGGAGGCAGCAGUCGGGAAUCUUCCGCAAUGGGCGAAAGCCUGACGGAGCAACGCCGCGUGAGUGAUGAAGGUCUUCGGAUCGUAAAACUCUGUUAUUAGGGAAGAACAAAUGUGUAAGUAACUAUGCACGUCUUGACGGUACCUAAUCAGAAAGCCACGGCUAACUACGUG
rnacentral:rRNA from 1 species